rnacentral:rRNA from 1 species
GAUGAACGCUGGCGGCAUGCCUAAUACAUGCAAGUCGAACGAGAGGAAGGAAAGCUUGCUUUUCUGAAUCUAGUGGCGAACGGGUGAGUAACACGUAGGUAACCUGCCCAUGUGCCCGGGAUAACUUCUGGAAACGGAUGCUAAAACCGGAUAGGUAGCAGACAAGCAUUUGACUGCUAUUAAAGUGGCUAAGGCCAUGAACAUGGAUGGACCUGCGGUGCCUUAGCUAGUUGGUGAGGUAACGGCCCACCAAGGCGACGAUGCAUAGCCGGCCUGAGAGGGCGCACGGCGACAUUGGGACUGAGGCACGGCCCAAACUCCUACGGGAGGCAGCAGUAGGGAAUUUUCGUCAAUGGGGGGAACCCUGAACGAGCAAUGCCGCGUUAGUGAGGAAGGUCUUCGGAUCGUAAAGCUCUGUUGUAAGAGAAAAACGACAUUCAUAGGGAAUGAUGAGUGAGUGAUGGUAUCUUACCAGAAAGUCACGGCUAACUACGUGCCAGCCGCCGCCGUAAGAC